rnacentral:rRNA from 1 species
AUACGGAGGAUGCAAGCGUUAUCCGGAUUUAUUGGGUUUAAAGGGUGCGUAGGCGGAUGAUUAAGCGUGAGGUGAAAUGCCACUGCUCAACAGUGGAACUGCCUCGCGAACUGGUUGUCUUGAAUGCUCCUGACGUGGGAGGCAUGUGUGGUGUAGCGGUGAAAUGCAUAGAGAUCACACAGAACACCGAUUGCGAAGGCAUCUCACGAAGGGGUGAUUGACGCUGAGGCACGAAAGCGUGGGGAUCAAACAGGAUUAGAUACCCUGGUAGUCCACGCAGUAAACGAUGAUAACUAACCGCUGGGUCGUAGUGAUUCAGUGGCCAAGCGAAAGCGAUAAGUUAUCCACCUGGGGAGUACGACCGCAAGGUUGAAACUCAAAUGAAUUGACGGG